UACGAAGGGGGCUAGCGUUGCUCGGAAUCAUUGGGCGUAAAGCGCACGUAGGCGGCUUCUUAAGUCAGGUGUGAAAUCCUGGAGCUCAACUCCAGAACUGCCUUUGAUACUGGGAGGCUCGAGUCCGGGAGAGGUGAGUGGAACUGCGAGUGUAGAGGUGAAAUUCGUAGAUAUUCGCAAGAACACCAGUGGCGAAGGCGGCUCACUGGCCCGGUACUGACGCUGAGGUGCGAAAGCGUGGGGAGCAAACAGG
rnacentral:rRNA from 1 species